rnacentral:rRNA from 1 species
UGGGGAAUAUUGGACAAUGGGCGAAAGCCUGAUCCAGCAAUACCGCGUGAGGGAUGAAGGCCCUAGGGUCGUAAACCUCUGUCAGUUGGAACGAUGGGUCUGUAGGUUAAUACCCUACAGACUUGACGGUACCUUCAAAGGAAGCCCCGGCUAACUCCGUGCCAGCAGCCGCGGUAAUACGGAGGGGGCUCAGGAAACCAGACUCCUACGGGGCUGGAGUGUGGCAGAGGGAGGUGGAAUUCCACGUGUAGCGGUGAAAUGCGUAGAUAUGUGGAGGAACACCGAUGGCGAAGGCAGCCUCCUGGGCCAACACUGACGCUCAUGCACGAAAGCGUGGGGAGCAAACAGGAUUAGAUACCCUGGUAGUCCACGCCCUAAACGAUGACGACUAGUUGUUGGAGGAGUUAAAUCCUUUAGUAACGAAGCUAACGCGCGAAGUCGUCCGCCUGGGGAGUACGGUCGCAAGAUUA